GGCAACCCUCUGGGGUCCCCUUGCACGCUGUGGAAGCUUUAUUGUUUCACUCUUUGCAAUAAAUCUUGCUGCUGCUCACUCUUUGGGUCCACACUGCCUUUAUGAGCUGUAACACUCACGAUGAAGUUCUGCAGCUUCACUCCUGAAGCCAGCGACACCACAAACCCACCAGGAGGAAGGAACAACUCCAGAUGCACCUCCUUAAGAGCUGUGACACUCACCGCGAAGGUCCGCAGCUUCACUCCUGAGCCGGCGAGACCACGAACCCCACCAGAAGGAAGAAACUCUGAACACCUCCGAACAUCAGAAGGAACAAACUCUGGACACGCUGCCUUUAGGAACUGUAACACUCACCGCGAGGGUCCCCGGCUUCAUUCUUGAAGUCAGUGAGACCAAAAUCCCACCAAUUCUGGACACACUAGGAAGACUGAGACCCAAUUGGACCAUCAAAGAACGACCCAAUCACCAGCACAAAGCUAAUAAACUUGUAAGCUUUCAAUACAAAUAACGUUGGAACAUAGCUAGGAAGACUUCAGGAGACAGAUUCUCUUUGCAGAGUCUCUGGGAGCCUUUCUCUCUACCAUGUGGAUGCCUGCAGAAGCCUGCACAGUCAUUCUGCCACAUGCACUGUGGAUACACAGCUGAUUUACAGCUGGGCUGAAAAAGCCUCAUCUCUGUUUCUGGGGAUUCCAGGAUAUCCUGUUUUUGACUCUUAGCUAAGACGGAAAAAGUGAUGCUCACGCCAGAGAAGAGUCAGCCCAAGGUCAUCUAGGAUCAGUGGCACACCUAGGAUUCAGGCCCAAGGACCCCCAGCUGACCUGCCUUCCCUGGAACCUCACUGUGAGUUCUUUAACCAUGGCUGUGUUUUCAAAGUUGAACUGGGGCUGCUGUUGAUACCACCUUUAAAUGCCUGCUUUUGUCAUGGAGACCAUGAGAACUUCACUCUUCAGCUGGCAAUUUACCUGGCUGCACAGUGCUCAGGCACACACAGGCUUCAGGGCUACAAGGUAAAGGAUUUGCCAAGGCCAAGUGCUGAAACCCACUUCUUGUUUUGAAGCAAAUGAGAACUUCCACCUGUAUUUGACCUGGAAGUUGUGGUUCUCCUGCCCAGCCUGCUGCCACUGAGCCAUGCAGAUAUGCUGUCCAGCCCAUCACCAGUGAUUUGUAUGUAUAUUGGUUCUUCUGUUCAGCUCACUGCUGAACUGGACUCUCUCCUCUGCAGGUAAGCCCCCAAUAAAACCCCAUGUAUCAUUUAUUAGCUUGGAGUCUUCUCUUCAGCCUCUUGAAC
rnacentral:lncRNA from 1 species